AACUGCGUUAUGAAACAUUCUGUAGACCAAUAAAAGCCAAAAAUUUGCGGUGCCGGUCAUCAAAUAAUUUUAAUCAGCGGAGGAGAAAUAAUCAAACAAAUUAAUUAGUAUGAGUGACUUUGCCAGUUUUGCAGAUCGGAUGGGUGCGGAUCACAACUCUUACAAUUCGACCACGGGACAAAAUAAUGGUCAAUCGAGUCUUAGCCGAUCGACGCCACAAAGUUACAGAACUGAUAACACGGAACAAGCUCAACGUGAAGAAAGGGAACGAAUGAAACGAAAUGCGACCGAAAAUUUGUCUCGUCCUCCUGGACCGUUUUGGCGAUAUUGGAUGUCGGGUUGAGAUCAAGUGCUAUAAACACCUUGUGAUUAUGCGAAUAGACUUAUUAAUGUAAUGAGACUUAUUAAUGUAAUGAUGUUUGUAAUCAAUGAUGACAUGUUGAUCAGGGCUGCAGGCCAUAUAUCAAUAAAUAAAUACUAUACUAAUACUAUUAUGCGAAUAGAGUUUAUAUUUAUAGAUACGUAUUUAUGUUUAUAUAAACCUGCCAUGGUGUUCAACAUAUGUAAUACAUUUGAAGUAUUAAAAAUAAUAAGUCAAUUUUGUGUCGUGAUA